UAAGGAAUAUUGGUCAAUGGACGCAAGUCUGAACCAGCCAUGCCGCGUGAAGGAUGAAGGUCCUCUGGAUUGUAAACUUCUUUUAUCUGGGACGAAAACGGGAUUUUUAUCUCAAUUGACGGUACCAGAGGAAUAAGCACCGGCUAACUCCGUGCCAGCAGCCGCGGUAAUACGGAGGGUGCGAGCGUUAUCCGGAUUUACUGGGUUUAAAGGGUGCGUAGGUGGGCUUAUAAGUCAGUGGUGAAAUCUCCGAGCUUAACUUGGAAACUGCCGUUGAUACUAUAGGUCUUGAAUUAUCUGGAGGUAAGCGGAAUAUGUCAUGUAGCGGUGAAAUGCUUAGAUAUGACAUAGAACACCAAUUGCGAAGGCAGCUUACUACAUAUAAAUUGACGCUGAGGCACAAAAGCGUGGGGAUCAAACA
rnacentral:rRNA from 1 species